UACGUAGGGGGCAAGCGUUGUCCGGAUUUAUUGGGCGUAAAGAGCGUGUAGGCGGCUAGAUAGGUCCGUUGUGAAAACUCGAGGCUCAACCUCGAGACGUCGAUGGAAACCAUCUGGCUAGAGUCCGGAAGAGGAGAGUGGAAUUCCUGGUGUAGCGGUGAAAUGCGCAGAUAUCAGGAAGAACACCCGUGGCGAAGGCGGCUCUCUGGAACGGUACUGACGCUGAGACGCGAAAGCGUGGGGAGCGAACAGG
rnacentral:rRNA from 1 species